rnacentral:rRNA from 1 species
AUUGAACGCUGGCGGCAGGCCUAACACAUGCAAGUCGAGCGGAUGAAGAGAGCUUGCUCUCUGAUUCAGCGGCGGACGGGUGAGUAAUGCCUAGGAAUCUGCCUGGUAGUGGGGGACAACGUUUCGAAAGGAACGCUAAUACCGCAUACGUCCUACGGGAGAAAGCAGGGGACCUUCGGGCCUUGCGCUAUCAGAUGAGCCUAGGUCGGAUUAGCUAGUUGGUGAGGUAAUGGCUCACCAAGGCGACGAUCCGUAACUGGUCUGAGAGGAUGAUCAGUCACACUGGAACUGAGACACGGUCCAGACUCCUACGGGAGGCAGCAGUGGGAAUAUUGGACAAUGGGCGAAAGCCUGAUCCAGCCAUGCCGCGUGAGUGAUGAAGGCC